CCCGGCGUAGCUCAGCUGGAUAGAGCGUCUGCCUUUCUACGAAAUCACAUUGCCAGCGUGAGAGUAGGGGUGGGAGGUCGCAGGUUCAAGUCCUGCCGCCGGGGCCA
rnacentral:tRNA from 1 species